AUAUUUACCUGGGAGGGGACAAAUCCAUGGUCAUGUGGGUGGUUUUCCCAGAAUAAGGCGUAUUUAUCACACUUGCAAUAUGCUGACUCUUUCAGUUUCCCGAAAUAUGGGAAACUCAACUGCAUAAUUUGUCCUAGUAGGACUAUAUUUGUGCUGUCUUC